rnacentral:rRNA from 1 species
UACGUAGGGUGCAAGCGUUGUCCGGAAUUAUUGGGCGUAAAGAGCUCGUAGGCGGUCUGUUGCGUCGGCUGUGAAAACCCGGGGCUCAACCCCGGGCCUGCAGCCGAUACGGGCAGACUAGAGUUCGGCAGGGGAGACUGGAAUUCCUGGUGUAGCGGUGGAAUGCGCAGAUAUCAGGAGGAACACCGAUGGCGAAGGCAGCUCGCUGGGACGGUACUGACGCUGAGGCGCGAAAGCGUGGGGAGCGAACAGG